rnacentral:rRNA from 2 species
CAACCGAGAUUCCCCSAGUAGCGAGCGAACGGGAGCAGCCCAGAGUCUGAAUCAGCUUGUGUGUUAGUGGAACGGUCUGGAAAGUCCGACGGUACAGGGUGAUAGUCCCGUACACCAAAAUGCACAGGCUGUGAACUCGAAGAGUAGGGCGGGACACGUGGUAUCCUGUCUGAAUAUGGGGGGACCAUCCUCCAAGGCUAAAUACUCCUGACUGACCGAUAGUGAACCAGUACCGUGAGGGAAAGGCGAAAAGAACCCCGGCGAGGGGAGUGAAAAAGAACCUGAAACCGUGUACGUACAAGCAGUGGGAG